rnacentral:rRNA from 1 species
GACGAACGCUGGCGGCGUGCUUAACACAUGCAAGUCGAACGGAAAGGCCCUGCUUUUGUGGGGUGCUCGGGUGGCGAACGGGUGAGUAACACGUGAGUAACCUGCCCUUGACUUUGGGAUAACUUCAGGAAACUGGGGCUAAUACCGGAUAGGAGCUCCUGCUGCAUGGUGGGGGUUGGAAAGUUUCGGCGGUUGGGGAUGGACUCGCGGCUUAUCAGCUUGUUGGUGGGGUAGUGGCUUACCAAGGCUUUGACGGGUAGCCGGCCUGAGAGGGUGACCGGCCACAUUGGGACUGAGAUACGGCCCAGACUCCUACGGGAGGCAGCAGUGGGGAAUAUUGCACAAUGGGCGGAAGCCUGAUGCAGCAACGCCGCGUGCGGGAUGACGGCCUUCGGGUUGUAAACCGCUUUCGCCUGUGACGAAGCGUGAGUGACGGUAAUGGGUAAAGAAGCACCGGCCAACUACGUG